ACUGCUCAGUAACACGUGGACAACCUGCCCUUAGGUUGGGUAUAAACCCGGGAAACUGGGUAUAAUACCCGAUAGGUCUCGAUUGCUGGAAUGCAUCGAGAUUUAAAGCUCCGGCGCCUAAGGAUGGGUCUGCGGCCUAUCAGGUAGUAGUGGGUGUAGCGUACCUACUAGCCUACGACGGGUACGGGUUGUGAGAGCAAGAGCCCGGAGAUGGAUUCUGAGACACGAAUCCAGGCCCUACGGGGUGCAGCAGGCGCGAAAACUUUGCAAUGCUGGCAACAGCGAUAAGGGAACCUCGAGUGCCAGGUUACAAAUCUGGCUGUCGAGAUGCCUAAAAAGCAUUUCAUAGCAAGGGCCGGGCAAGACCGGUGCCAGCCGCCGCGGUAACACCGGCGGCUCGAGUGGUAACCGUUAUUAUUGGGUCUAAAGGGUCUGUAGCCGGCCGGAUAAGUCUCUUGAGAAAUCUGGCAGCUUAACGGUCAGGCUUUCAGGAGAUACUGUCUGGCUCGAGGCCGGGAGAGGUGAGAGGUACUUCAGGGGUAGGGGUGAAAUCUUGUAAUCCUUGAAGGACCACCAGUGGCGAAGGCGUCUCACCAGAACGGACCUGACGGCAAGGGACGAAAGCUAGGGGCACGAACCGGAUUAGAUACCCGGGUAGUCCUAGCCGUAAACGAUACUCGCUAGGUGUCGGCCACGGUGCGGCCGUUGUCGGUGCCGUAGGGAAGCCGUGAAGCGAGCCACCUGGGAAGUACGGCCGCAAGGCUGAAACUUAAAGGAAUUGGCGGGGGAGCAC
rnacentral:rRNA from 1 species